CCUACGGGGGACAGCAGUGAGGAAUAUUGGUCAAUGGGCGCGAGCCUUAACCAGCCACGUAGCGUGAAGGAUGACUGCCCUACGGGUUGUAAACUUCUUUUAUCCAGGACUAAAGUGAGGCACGUGUGCCUUUUUGUAUGUACUUUAUGAAUACGGAUCGGCUAACUCCGUGCCAGCAGCCGCGGUAAUACGGAGGAUCCGAGCGUUAUCCGGAUUUAUUGGGUUUAAAGGGAGCGUAGAUGGGUUGUUAAGUCAGUUGUGAAAGUUUGCGGCUCAACCGUAAAAUUGCAAUUGAUACUGGCAGCCUUGAGUACAGUUGAGGUAGGCGGAAUUCGUGGUGUAGCGGUGAAAGGCUUAGAUAUCAUACAGAACACCGAUUGCGAAGGCAGCUUACCAAUCUAUAUCUGACGUUGAGGCACGAAAGCGUGGGGAGCAAACAGGAUUAGAUACCCCAGUAGUC
rnacentral:rRNA from 1 species